AUGCUUGCUGCAACAGCACAUACACUAAAAUUGGAACUAGAGAAGGUUUCCAAGGCCCCUGCACAAGGAUGACACACAGAUUCCUGAAGUGUUUUGUAUUAAA
ensembl:snRNA U6 U6 spliceosomal RNA